GUAGGUGAACCUGCGGAAGGAUCAUUAAUGAAUUGUUAAGGGAGUUGAUGCUGGCAAUCUUGGUUGCAUGUGCUCGCUUCCGACACUCUUUAUCCACACACCUGUGCACUUUUUGAGGGGGUUAACUUCGGUUUCCCUCUUCCUUAUUAUAAACCCCAUUUAUGAAUAUUGAACGUGAAUAUGUGCUGCAAAGCCUUAAAUAUUAAUACAACUUUUAACAACGGAUCUCUUGGCUCUCGCAUCGAUGAAG
rnacentral:misc_RNA from 1 species